UGGCGGACGGGUGAGUAAUGUCUGGGAAACUGCCCGAUGGAGGGGGAUAACUACUGGAAACGGUAGCUAAUACCGCAUAACGUCGCAAGACCAAAGCGGGGGACCUCCGGGCCUCGCGCCAUCAGAUGAACCCAUAUGGGAUUAGCUAGUAGGUAAGGUAACGGCUUACCUAGGCGACGAUCCCUAGCUGGUCUGAGAGGAUGACCAGCCACACUGGAACUGAGACACGGUCCAG
rnacentral:rRNA from 1 species